rnacentral:rRNA from 1 species
GAUGAACGCUGGCUACAGGCUUAACACAUGCAAAUCGAGGGGAAACGACGGGGAAGCUUGCUUCCCCGGGCGUCGACCGGCGCACGGGUGAGUAACGCGUAUCCAACCUGCCUCUGACUGAGGGAUAACCCGUCGAAAGUCGGCCUAAUACCUCAUGGCAUCGUCUGCGGGCAUCCAACGACGAUUAAAGAUUUCAUCGGUCAGAGAUGGGGAUGCGUCUGAUUAGCUUGUUGGCGGGGUAACGGCCCACCAAGGCGACGAUCAGUAGGGGUUCUGAGAGGAAGGUCCCCCACAUUGGAACUGAGACACGGUCCAAACUCCUACGGGAGGCAGCAGUGAGGAAUAUUGGUCAAUGGGCGAGAGCCUGAACCAGCCAAGUAGCGUGCAGGAUGACGGCCCUAUGGGUUGUAAACUGCUUUUAGGCGGGGAUAAAGUGAGGGACGUGUCCUUCAUUGCAGGUACCGCAUGAAUAAGGACCGGCUAAUUCCGUG